rnacentral:rRNA from 1 species
CCGGUUCACUUUAACACUGAGGCGUGAUGACGAGGCACUACGGUGCUGAAGUAACAAAUGCCCUGCUUCCAGGAAAAGCCUCUAAGCAUCAGGUAACAUCAAAUCGUACCCCAAACCGACACAGGUGGUCAGGUAGAGAAUACCAAGGCGCUUGAGAGAACUCGGGUGAAGGAACUAGGCAAAAUGGUGCCGUAACUUCGGGAGAAGGCACGCUGACACGUAGGUGAAGUGAUUUACUCACGGAGCUGAAGUCAGUCGAAGAUACCAGCUGGCUGCAACUGUUUAUUAAAAACACAGCACUGUGCAAACACGAAAGUGGACGUAUACGGUGUGACGCCUGCCCGGUGCCGGAAGGUUAAUUGAUGGGGUCAGCGCAAGCGAAGCUCCUGAUCGAAGCCCCGGUAAACGGCGGCCGUAACUAUAACGGUCCUAAGGUAGCGAAAUUCCUUGUCGGGUAAGUUCCGACCUGCACGAAUGGCGUAAUGAUGGCCAGGCUGUCUCCACCCGAGACUCAGUGAAAUUGAACUCGCUGUGAAGAUGCAGUGUACCCGCGGCAAGACGGAAAGACCCCGUGAACCUUUACUAUAGCUUGACACUGAACAUUGAGCCUUGAUGUGUAGGAUAGGUGGGAGGCUUUGAAGUGUGGACGCCAGUCUGCAUGGAGCCGACCUUGAAAUACCACCCUUUAAUGUUUGAUGUUCUAACGUGGACCCGUUACCCGGGUUGCGGACAGUGUCUGGUGGGUAGUUUGACUGGGGCGGUCUCCUCCUAAAGAGUAACGGAGGAGCACGAAGGUUGGCUAAUCCUGGUCGGACAUCAGGAGGUUAGUGCAAUGGCAUAAGCCAGCUUGACUGCGAGCGUGACGGCGCGAGCAGGUGCGAAAGCAGGUCAUAGUGAUCCGGUGGUUCUGAAUGGAAGGGCCAUCGCUCAACGGAUAAAAGGUACUCCGGGGAUAACAGGCUGAUACCGCCCAAGAGUUCAUAUCGACGGCGGUGUUUGGCACCUCGAUGUCGGCUCAUCACAUCCUGGGGCUGAAGUAGGUCCCAAGGGUAUGGCUGUUCGCCAUUUAAAGUGGUACGCGAGCUGGGUUUAGAACGUCGUGAGACAGUUCGGUCCCUAUCUGCCGUGGGCGCUGGAGAACUGAGGGGGGCUGCUCCUAGUACGAGAGGACCGGAGUGGACGCAUCACUGGUGUUCGGGUUGUCAUGCCAAUGGCACUGCCCGGUAGCUAAAUGCGGAAGAGAUAAGUGCUGAAAGCAUCUAAGCACGAAACUUGCCCCGAGAUGAGUUCUCCCUGAGACUUUAGGUCUCCUGAAGGAACGUUGAAGACGACGACGUUGAUAGGCCGGGUGUGUAAGCGCAGCGAUGCGUUGAGCUAACCGGUACUAAUGAACCGUGAGGCUUAACCUUACAACGCCG